rnacentral:rRNA from 1 species
UACGAAGGGUGCAAGCGUUGUUCGGAAUCACUGGGCGUAAAGGGCGCGUAGGCGGGUUUGUAAGUCACAUGUGAAAUCCCUAGGCUUAACCUGGGACGUGCAUGCGAUACUGCAAAUCUUGAAUUGUCUGGAGAGGGAGGCGGAAUUCCAGGUGUAGAAGUGAAAUUCGUAGAUAUCUGGAGGAACAUCCGAGGCGAAGGCGGCCUCCUGGCAGAACAUUGACGCUAAAGAGCGAAAGCGCGGGGAGCAAACAGG